GAUGAACGCUGGCGGCGUGCCUAAUACCUGCACGUCGAGCGCAGAGGGGACGGGUGAGUAACACGUGGAUAACCUCCUUUACGAAUGGGAUAACUUCGGGGCACCGGAGCUAAACCGGAUACUUAUUGAUGGAUCCGAGCUGCAUUAGCUAGUUGGUAAGGUAACGGCUUACCAGGGCAACAAUGCAUAGCCGACCUGAGAGGGUGGUCGUCCACGCUGGACCUGAGGCACGGUCACGACGCGUCCGGGAGGCGGCAGUAGGGAAUCUUCCUGAAUGGGCGAAAGCCGGACGGAGCAACGCCGCGUGAGUGAUGAAGGUCGUCGGAUCGUAAAACUCUGUUAUUAGUGAAGCGGGACCUAAUCGGAAGGCCACGGCUAACUACGUGCCAGCAGCCGCGGUAAUUC
rnacentral:rRNA from 1 species